ACUGGACUGAGACACGGUCCAGACUCCUACGGGAGGCAGCAGUGGGGAAUAUUGCACAAUGGGCGCAAGCCUGAUGCAGCCAUGCCGCGUGUAUGAAGAAGGCCUUCGGGUUGUAAAGUACUUUCAGCAGUGAGGAAGGUGUUGUAGUUAAUAACUGCAUCAUUUGACGUUAGCUGCAGAAGAAGCACCGGCUAACUCCGUGCCAGCAGCCGCGGUAAUACGGAGGGUGCGAGCGUUAAUCGGAAUUACUGGGCGUAAAGCGCAUGCAGGUGGAUGAUUAAGUCAGAUGUGAAAGCCCGGGGCUCAACCUCGGAAUUGCAUUUGAAACUGGUUAUCUAGAGUACUGUAGAGGGGGGUAGAAUUUCAGGUGUAGCGGUGAAAUGCGUAGAGAUCUGAAGGAAUACCGGUGGCGAAGGCGGCCCCCUGGACAGAUACUGACACUCAGAUGCGAAAGCGUGGGGAGCAAACAGGAUUAGAUACCCUGGUAGUCCACGCCGUAAACGAUGUCUACUUGGAGGUUGUGGCCUUGAGCCGUGGCUUUCGGAGCUAACGCGUUAAGUAGACCGCCUGGGGAGUACGGUCGCAAGAUUAAAACUCAAAUGAAUUGACGGGGGCCCGCACAAGCGGUGGAGCAUGUGGUUUAAUUCGAUGCAACGCGAAGAACCUUACCUACUCUUGACAU
rnacentral:rRNA from 1 species